AGUGAACGCUGGCGGCAGGCCUAACACAUGCAAGUCGAACGGCAGCACAAGAGAGCUUGCUCUCUGGGUGGCGAGUGGCGGACGGGUGAGGAAUGCAUCGGAAUCUGCCCAUUUGUGGGGGAUAACCUCGGGAAACCGGGACUAAUACCGCAUACGACCUACGGGUGAAAGCAGGGGAUCUUCGGACCUUGCGCAGAUGGAUGAGCCGAUGCCGGAUUAGCUAGUUGGAGGGGUAAAGGCCCACCAAGGCGACGAUCCGUAGCUGGUCUGAGAGGAUGAUCAUCCACACUGGGACUGAGACACGGCCCAGACUCCUACGGGAGGCAGCAGUGGGGAAUAUUGGACAAUGGGCGCAAGCCUGUUCCAGCCAUGCCGCGUGUGUGAAGAAGGCCUUCGGGUUGUAAAGCACUUUUGUUGGGAAAGAAAAGCAGCCGGUUAAUACCCGGUUGUCAUGACGGUACCCAAAGAAUAAGCACCGGCUAACUUCGUG
rnacentral:rRNA from 1 species